GACGAACGCUGGCGGCGUGCUUAACACAUGCAAGUCGAACGGAAAGGCCCCCUUGUGGGGUACUCGAGUGGCGAACGGGUGAGUAACACGUGAGUAACCUACCCUUGACUUUGGGAUAACUUCAGGAAACUGGGGCUAAUACCGGAUAGGAGCUCCUGCUGCAUGGUGGGGGUUGGAAAGUUUCGGCGGUUGGGGAUGGGCUCGCGGCUUAUCAGCUUGUUGGUGGGGUAGUGGCUCACCAAGGCUUUGACGGGUAGCCGGCCUGAGAGGGUGACCGGCCACAUUGGGCCUGAGAUACGGCCCAGACUCCUACGGGAGGCAGCAGUGGGGAAUAUUGCACAAUGGGCGGAAGCCUGAUGCAGCAACGCCGCGUGCGGGAUGACGGCCUUCGGGUUGUAAACCGCUUUCGCCUGUGACGAAGCGUGAGUGACGGUAAUGGGUAAAGAAGCACCGGCUAACUACGUG
rnacentral:rRNA from 1 species